UUUCUGUCCCCUCCAUUUUUUUUUUUCAAGUUGAAAGCCGUGAAGUUGGGAAUAUGUUGGCAAAAGCAUCAAGUUCACAGUCAAGUGUUGGUCUAGGUGGAUCUGGUGCUCUCUCGCAUGUUUAUAUACAAUACCCACCAUUAUGUUGCAGUGUACCUGGGUCAAGGGGUUUCUUUUAUGACGAUGGAAAUAAGUUGCUCAUCUGCCCAACUUCUGAUCAGGUUUUUUCAUGGAAAACUGGUCCAUUUGACCCUGAUGUUGCCCCAACCUGCGAUUCAAUAAGUGAAGGGCCUAUUUUAUCUAUUCGAUUUUCGCUAGAUGGAACAAUGAUGGCAGUCCAACGAUCUAACGUUGAGAUACAAAUUUGGGACAGACAAACUGGGGAAAGUUUUAGUCAAAAGUGCAAGCCAGAAUCAGAAAGUAUUCUGGGAUUUUUCUGGACAGAUUGUCCAUCAUGUCACAUUGUUGUUGUAAAGACCAGUGGAGUAGACUUGUUUGCUUAUGAUUCUGCCUCAAAAUCGCUCCGCUUGGUUGAAACAAGGAAAUUGAAUGUUAGUUGGUAUAUCUACACGCAUGAAAGUAGAUUGGUUCUUCUUGCAUCUGGAAUGCAGAGCCGGACUUUUACUGGGUUUCAGGUAUUAGCUCAUUAUUCCCUUC